rnacentral:rRNA from 1 species
CCUACGGGGGGCUGCAGUGGGGAAUUUUGGACAAUGGGCGCAAGCCUGAUCCAGCUAUUCCGCGUGUGGGAAGACGGCCUUCGGGUUGUAAACCACUUUUGUAGAGAACGAAAAGUCUGUUGAGAAUACCGAUAGAUGAUGACGGUACUCUAAGAAUAAGCACCGGCUAACUACGUGCCAGCAGCCGCGGUAAUACGUAGGGUGCGAGCGUUAAACGGAAUUACUGGGCGUAAAGGGUGGGUAGGCGGUUUUGCAAGUUGGAUGUGAAAGCCCCGGGCUUAACCUGGGAAAGCCAUACAUGACUGCAAGACUAGAGUGCGUCAGAGGUGGGUGGAAUUCCAAGUGUAGCAGUGAAAUGCGUAGAUAUUUGGAAGAACACCGAUGGCGAAGGCAGCCCCCUGGGACGCAACUGACGCUCAUACACGAAAGCGUGGGGAGCAAACAGGAUUAGAUACCCCAGUAGUC